rnacentral:piRNA from 1 species
UUAUUAUUGUUGUAAGUCUCAAGACCU